CAUCUCUCAGGGUUGCACCUGGAGAGUUUCCAGUACUCUACCAAUCUCUACUUUGGGAGAGAGAGUCAAGCAGAGGCCUAGCCAUUCCAUUCCUAGCUUGAGCAGUGGCUAGCGAGUGGAAGGCAAUCUGCUCCAAGU
rfam:Ornithorhynchus anatinus chromosome 2, whole genome shotgun sequence.